UGGCUCAGUGGUAAAGCACUUGCCUUGCAUGCAUGAGGACCUGGGUUCAAUUCCCCAG
rnacentral:tRNA from 1 species